rnacentral:rRNA from 1 species
UUGAACGCUGGCGGCAGGCCUAACACAUGCAAGUCGAGCGGUUGAGAGUAGCUUGCUACUUGAUGCAGCGGCGGACGGGUGAGUAACGCGUGGGAAUCUGCCCAGUAGUGGGGGACAACAGCCGGAAACGGCUGCUAAUACCGCAUACGCCCUACGGGGGGAAGGGGGGGAUCUUCGGACCUCUCGCUAUUGGAUGAGCCCGCGUCGGAUUAGCUAGUUGGUAGGGUAAAGGCCUACCAAGGCUACGAUCCGUCACUGGUCUGAGAGGAUGAUAAGGCACACUGGGACUGGGGCACGGGCCAGACUCCUACGGGAGGGAGCAGUGGGGAAUAUUGGACAAUGGGGGAAACCCUGAUCCAGCCAUGCCGCGGGUGUGAAGAAGGCCUUAGGGUUGUAAAGCACUUUCAGUGGGGAGAAAGGUUUGUCACCUAAUACGUGAUGAAAUUGAUGUUACCCACAGAAGAAGCACCGGCUAACUCCGUGCCAGCCGCCGCAGUAAAAC